UAAUAAUGUUAAGCUCAAACUAUACUGUUCUAGCCUAAUCUCAGUCCAUUGGCUUGCCUAACCAAAACCCAUUAUCCGCUCAGGAAGGGGUUUCUAUGGGCCCUACCAUGAUGUGUGGAUUUUUUCCAUGCUGUCCAUUCAUUUUGUUCAGAUAAUUUUAAGUAUAUAAGCCCAAAAUUGAGGCAAAAUGAAAGCUCAAGUGGAUCACACCAUAGGAAGGAGAUGAUAAUGGACAGGGAUGUCAAUGGCCAGGCCUGGGGUAGAUCUUGGCCUAGAUUUUGAACUAUUUUAGGCCGCGUUGGGCUGCCCUAUUCAAAAUUCUGCUUUUUCAGGUUGAAACCUCUAAUAAUGACACCCCAUGGGUGGAAUCUUCCCAAGGGCCACCGUGAUGUUUAUUAGCCAUCCAACAUUUUCCUAAGGUCAGGAUGGAGGGAGAACACAAACAUCAGCUUGAUCCAAAGUUUCUGCGGCUCUCGUGAAGUUUUUAAUGAGAAUAGGCUAGUUGAAGUUUAGUGGAUCGAGUAGUGAGUGAAGGAUCGAACAGGUUGAGGCAAUUGCAGAGCUUACGAAGAGAUGCUUGAAACUGAGGGCGGAAGGCCCAUGAUGAAGUGGCCAUGGAGCUUGAAGGGCUGAGAUUAAUCGAGAGUCAUCUGUGGGUUGUUCAAGAUGAGCAUGAAGAGAGCGAGUGCCUGCUAGGUGAAGUUCCAUCCUUCAACAUGGGCAAUUCCAAUGCGCACAAUAGUAUUAAAAAAAAAAAAAAAAAGAAAGAAA